rnacentral:rRNA from 3 species
CUCUCCUUUGUGAUGGUGCUAGUUGGGGUGAGAUGAGAUGAGGUUACCUCUGAUAGAUAAUUUAUCACUGUACAGCUCCUAAAUCUUUAGAUAUUACUCUGAGAUUGGAUAGCUGGACAUCUGUUCCAGUCAGAACCUUGAAAACUGCAUAGAGAAAAGCAUAAUGGUGUAGGAAAACGUCGUAAAGACAAUUCCAAUG